GUGCUCACUGCAGCAGCACAUAUACUAAAAUCAUAACAACACAGAGAAUAUUAGUAUGGCCUCUGAGCAAGGAUGACACGUGAAUUUGUAGAGCGUUCCAUAUUUUU